UCAAUUUUUGUAUAUAAGUUUGUAGAAUAUUGAACACAUUGCUUCUUUGCUUCUAAUUGUCUAAAAAUCUUUUUUGUGCCAGUGUAUCCUUUCCUUUUGGUGUUGUUCUUUAAUAUUGGACACACAAUUUCUAACCUGUUUUUAUUUUUUUUCUUAUUUUGUUGAGGAUGGAAUAACCAAAGCUCUGGAUACAUUGAAGAGAAUGAAGCAGAAAAUAAGACAUCAAUCAAAGAAACUAAAAGCAGCAUGGUGAUCUAAGCAAAUAGGUUAACAUUUUACAUUUAUUUUCCUGACUUUAGAUUAGUUUUUAACAAAUUGUUCUCAAUUUUAGACCCAGUUCAUAUACAUCAACUCGGACCUUUAUUUGAUUGUUGGAUGAAUAUACCAUUAAUCCAAAACUUUUUGGAAUUCUUUGUUUCAGCUAUCAGUCUUCUAGUAACUUAAAGUAUCCAAUUUGCAUUAGUUAGUGUAUUUAAUUGUUGUAUAUAAGUCAUUAUAUAGAACAAUUAAGGAUAAGUUAACAUUAAAUUUUAUUGUAUCCUUCCCUUUAUAAAUAUCUCUAAAAAUGUUUUUUGUGCCAGUGUAUCCUUUCCUUUUGGUGUUGUUCUUUAAUACAGUAAUACAAUUUCUAACCUGUUUUUUUUUUCUUUGUCUUAUUUUGUUGAGGAUGGAAUAACCCAAGCUCUGGUGGAAUUGUAGAGAAUCAAGCAGAAAAUAAGACAUCAAUCAAAGAAACUAAAAGCAGCAUGGGGAUCUAAGCAAAUAGUUUUUGGUAGAAACCAGCAUGGACCAAAAUUGGAUUUGAGAGUUGCAAACACAGUAAAAGAAGAACUUGCAAAUAGGCACUUCAUAGACCCUUACUGCUCUCACCCGGAUUGCCCUGAGCUGGUGUUCCGACUUGAUAUUCUUGACAGCAACGAACAUGCUUGGCAUCUUGACAGACCAAUACUAUUUCGAAAAGGAAGUAAACUGAACUUAAUGUGUGAAGGAUUUUUGCCCUGAAGAACCGGGGUAUUUAUACAGGUUCAUAAUUCAAAUUUACCAUUGAUUUUGAUCAGCAGCCA